GCCCUAUUACUUGCUUUGCAGGACAUUUAUUAAAAUUGGGAUGAUACAGAAAUUAGCAUGGCCCCUGCACAGAGAUGACGUACAAAUCUGUGAUGUGUUCUAUAUUUUU